UAGGGAAUCUUCGGCAAUGGGGGGAACCCUGACCGAGCAACGCCGCGUGAGUGAAGAAGGUUUUCGGAUCGUAAAACUCUGUUGUUAGAGAAGAACAGCGCAUAGAGUAACUGUUAUGCGUGUGACGGUAUCUAACCAGAAAGCCACGGCUAACUACGUGCCAGCAGCCGCGGUAAUACGUAGGUGGCAAGCGUUGUCCGGAUUUAUUGGGCGUAAAGCGAGCGCAGGCGGUCAAUUAAGUCUGAUGUGAAAGCCCCCGGCUCAACCGGGGAGGGUCAUUGGAAACUGGUUGACUUGAGUGCAGAAGAGGAGAGUGGAAUUCCAUGUGUAGCGGUGAAAUGCGUAGAUAUAUGGAGGAACACCAGUGGCGAAGGCGACUCUCUGGUCUGUAACUGACGCUGAGGCUCGAAAGCGUGGGGAGCGAACAGG
rnacentral:rRNA from 1 species